CCUCAGGUUGGCUGCAUGUGGUUUCGUAAAAGUGGUUUUCCCUCUCUCUGUAGCUCAGCAAUUGAAGCAGCUUAAAUAUUUAAUCAUAUGGAAUUGUUCUCAGAUGGAAUACAUUGUUGCAGAAGCACAAGAAGAAAAAAACAAGAGAAUAAGCCAAAAAGUGUUUCCUAACUUAAUUCGGCUUGAUCUUUUUUAGCUACCAAAGCUGAUGGCUCUUUGUGCUGACAGCCAUAUUUCUUUUGACUGGCUCUCAUUAAAAAAAUUUACAUUGUAUGAUUGUCCCAAAACGAAGAUUCUUUGUUCUACAAUUUCAGACUCAUCUACAUUGAAGAAAAGUUUUGAUCAAAGUGAGCUCAGUGGCAAGGAAGUCAUGUGUCCAAUAAGCUCAAUUAUUCAAGGGUUAGGAAGAAGAAGAGGAGAGAAAAAAGUUUCCAACAAAGAGGUUUCAUUAAUCAAGAAUCAGGAUGAUCCAUCUGUUAGCCAUAUUGAUGAAAAGACAAGGAAAUGUUAUGCAUUGCCAUCCAAAUUGAUUGAAAGAUUGCAAAAUUUGAAAAAUCUUAAAAUAUUUGAUUGUGAUUCAAUGGAAGUGAUAUUUUCAUUUGAGGGGCUGAUUCCCGAGGAAUGCCAUGCUACUACUGGAGUACUCAAUUCUAUGGAAGAGAUGCGUUUCGAGAGGUUAUCAAAUUUGAAGCGCUUAUGCUUUAAGAUUCCAUCAGAAAUCAAAGCCUUCCAAAACCUAAAAAUGUUGGAAGUAGAAUCUUGUGACAAUUUAAUAAACCUUUUCUCACCUGGCUUGGCCAAACUUCUAGAAAAGCUACAAGAAAUAAGGAUCACUAGCUGCAAGAUGAUGGAGGAAAUUAUUGGAAAAGAGGAUGAAGAAAAACAAGAAGAAGGCAUGCAAACAAUUGUGUUCCCUCAACUAAGCUCUCUGACAUUUGAAGAGCUACCCAGUCUCAAGAGUUUCUGCAAUGGGAUUUACGCCCUUGAAUUUCCAUUAUUAGAAAAUCUGAACUUUUGGAAAUGUAAUGGGAUGAAGACAUUCUCUUAUGGAUCAUUAAGCAUGCCAAAGCUAAAGAAACUUAAUAUAAAUUGUGAGAACCAUCAAUUAAUGGGAACUCCAGACCUUAAUUCAACAAUGAGUCACUUGUUCAAGGCAAAGGGCAAAGUGGUAUUGAAUCCUUAAACAGGAGUGAUGCUUGACAAAUUCAGCGAAGACAUGAAAAAAGGGAGAUUUUGAACUCUGGGACUGCUGGAUCCUUGCUAUUGCUCUGGUUUCCUCGGACUUGUUUGUUGUUUCUUUGGGCUUCCUAUUCUUUUGGUGGUCUUGGUGCUGUUGGUGUCUUGUUGCCGCUUUGUUUUUCUUUGGGUUUGCUUUGUUUUUCUUUGGGUUUGCUUUGCUGCUCCUUGAUGUGCUGCUGCUCUUGGAACCUGUUGUCUGUUGUUAGUUAUGGGUCCGCUGACCUGACCUUUGAUCAUUUUGCUGGAGCGCUUUUGCUUUUGUUUUGAUGCUAUUAUGUUUAUUUGCCUCUUAGAAAUUUCUUUUCAUUGAAUUGUUGCAGAGAAUCUUUGUGUAUUGUAGGUUUCAUUGCU
rnacentral:misc_RNA from 1 species